ACUCAAAAAUAAGCUCCACAUUGUGCUCCCAUUCAAGAUAAGCAUUUGGUUUUGAUGCUCCUAAUGUUUUUAUCAAGAUCGUUUCGACCCCUACCAUAAUUUCGACAUUCAUUGACCAAAGUAGCUUGGUCAUCAAAUUCUUCCUCCAGUUCCUCAUCAAAAGGUGGUGUUGGAAGUCUUCUUGCCCCUGGAUUGGUUUGGGAAGCUUCCCCUCUCAUGGAAUUUAACUC
rnacentral:lncRNA from 1 species